UACGUAGGGCGCAAGCGUUAUCCGGAAUUAUUGGGCGUAAAGAGCUCGUAGGCGGUUUGUCGCGUCUGCCGUGAAAGUCCGGGGCUCAACCCCGGAUCUGCGGUGGGUACGGGCAGACUUGAGUGCAGUAGGGGAGACUGGAAUUCCUGGUGUAGCGGUGAAAUGCGCAGAUAUCAGGAGGAACACCGAUGGCGAAGGCAGGUCUCUGGGCUGUAACUGACGCUGAGGCGCGAAAGCGUGGGGAGCAAACAGG
rnacentral:rRNA from 1 species